ensembl:lncRNA
UUUAAGUAUUCAAUUUCAUUGUAAUUUUGCUGAAUAAACAAUAUUUUCCCAUCUUACCUCAUAAAUGGACUGGAUUUUGGGUGUAUGGACCAUAUUAUGGAGUCACUUGACCUUGUCUUACAUGAUAUUUAUUGUUUUAGUGUGAAUGAUGGAGAGUCCACUGUGAAACUAUUCUUUCAUAUUUAUUUAUAUAAACAUUAUGUAGUAAUUUAAACUGUUCUUCCUUUUCUACUUUUCAAUAUAUUUAUUCAAGCUUUCAAUAUAUUUUCACAGCGUUGUCUCCUCUGAAUAGGAUAGAACACCAAAGCUUUCUCCUUCCAGAGCAACGUCCAGCAGACAACAAGUGCAGAUAAAAGUUUUCAGUGGUCUUAAACAAACUUGUUUCUCUUUCCUGUGCCAAUUUCAAUACGAUCCGCCCUCUUUUUUCUUUUCUUUUUUUUUUUUUUUUUUUUUUGGUUAAGUAAAUAUUACAGCUUCAAGCUUCCCAUCCAAGAAGCUACUCUAAGCGAGCGGUGAGUAACGGGCAGAACAAUUACAUUCUUUUCCACUAGAGGGCAGUACAACUCCUUGCUCCAAUUAAAUGGGUUGCCAGAAGAAGACAAAGAAGAAAUUACUACAAAUGAGACCACGCAGCACGUGAUCUGCUGGCCGGACUGACCAGUUUAUCGUGAGGACAAAAAUGAAUUUUUCUUUAACUUAGUUUGUCACAGAAGGACGUUUGUAAUCCAGAGGGGAAAAUUAUUAUGAUUAAUGUUCCCAAUUACUUCAUCUUAAUAAAUAAAUACAACACAACCUGCGUUUGCCUCUUUGAUCCAUUUCUUUGUUCAUACUCAAAUACCGUGAACUGGCUUUUGAGUAUGCACAAAGAAAUGAACACAUCAAGCUGCUUGUGCCUUUAUAUGUUCUGCCAGUUCUUUCUCUAUAUGGUCGUCAAAGACUGGACAGGCAAGUGCAGUUCCUUUAUAUCCUUUAAUGGCCUUGUUUCUUUUCCAUCUAUCUUUUUCUUCUCCAUAGAUCGUUUUAAUGUCAUCCUGCAUAUGUGCAUCUUCUUCGCCACCUGAAUGGACUUCCCCUUCUCCACCUUGCUCACUAUAGUUCACAGCUCUGUUUACGUCCUCUAACGGAGUGGAAGCUCUGCCUGUCCUCCACAUUAUAACUCUGUGGCAUAACUACAGGCGUAUAGACUCA